GGAUCACAACCUGAGCCAAAGGCAGACGCUCAACCACUGAGCCACCCAGAUGGCCCAACAGAAGAAAGAACCAGACUUGAAAGCAGAAAUCUUGCUGUAGUUUACUUGGCAGCAAAACCUGAGCUGAAAUGAUGUAAGGCUGUUCCUGGUUUCCAUUGGCCCCAUUGACUGUGAAUAGACAUCCCUUUCCUGCAGCAAUAUCCGUGGAUUUGAAGACAGGCACUGCCCCAGGCCCAGCCCCAGCCAGGGAUGCUUUGUAAUAUAAUUAAAAUAUGAAAGAAGAGAGAGAUACAUUGAAGGAAAAGGAGCAAAGGUUUGCUGUUUUUGAAGAUUUCCUAGCCUCUCCAGAUGGCAAUUGAUGCUGAAAUUAAGAAAUGGCUUCUGAGCAAAGAUCAAACACAAGGCACUCUCAUAAAAGCAUAUUCCAGAAAUGAAAACACUACCAUAGCUGUUGGGAGCAGCCAUCUGCAGACGUUUACAUGGGGAGGAACCGAGGCAUUUCACCUGCAGUUACCUGAGGGAGUCUAUAAGUGAAUCAUCCAGAUCCACUCAAGGCUUCGGAUGACUGUAGCCCUAGUCCAGACCUUUACAAUGACUCCAUGAGAGGUCUCCAAACACAGCUUCCCAAGAACGGCACUCCCAAAUUAUUGACCUCUCAAACUGUGAGACAAAAUCUCUUCCCUUAAAAGAGGUGGUGUCCUCGACUUCUCCAAACAUCCUGAAGCCAAACUUCAGAAAAGAUGCCAGCCUGGGAACAAUAAUAAGUGAAAGUGAUGUUAGGUGUGAUGUACAGAAAGAAGAGAAGGUUCAGAAGUGUCCAUUCCUGGGAAACAUCCACCCAUCCACCCACCAGUCUAUAAACUCAAUUGCAGAUCACACUUGGUGGUAGUCUAAACCAUGCCUGGAACUUAGAUAAAAACUCUGGACACAAUCUCCAUUAAGCUUCCUGGUUACACGCAUCCAUGUGCUCGGACAGUAGUGUACCUUGAUUCCAUGAGGAGAGGACACAGAAGCUCCACAUUUGGCAUCCUUCCAGACCUCACCUAUGGAUCUCUUCUUCUGACUGACCCUGAUUUAUAUCCUUCAUUAUAAACUGAAUUGUAGAUAUAUAGUGCUGUCUUGAGUUCUGUGAGUCGUUCUAG